AACGCAUAUUGCACCCGACAGGUUCACUUGUCGGGUCUGCCUGUCUGAGUAUCAAUACGGACCCAACCAGUAAAUAAUAUUUGUUGAGUUGGUGCUCAUUAACAGUAUACUUGUGUAUUGUUAGUGGAUUUGAAUAUUCAAUUACCAUUUGUUAAUUGAUUAUUUGAAAUGUAUUGGUAUUUAGUCAAUCAGUUGAUAAUUGCCAACAGCUAUUCAGCAUUGUUAAUCAUCUUUUAUUAGGUGUUCAUUGCUCUACAAGUCGUUGGAAUCACGAUUAUUAACCAUUGUGUAAAAGCAAUGUAGUAUUGACCAGACCAAAAAGCACACUUUCUACUAACUAAACACUAGUAGACAAGAGUACACUUUUUAACCAUCUUGAUCUCAGAUCAGGCAGGAUGACCCGCUGAACUUAA
rnacentral:misc_RNA from 1 species